GACGAACCGUACGAACGUUAUUCGGAAUCACUGGGCUUAAAGGGUGCGUAGGCGGUCGGGUAAGUCUGGCGUGAAAUCUCCAAGCCUAACUUGGAAACUGCGUUGGAUACUAUCCGGCUCGAGGAAUGGAGGGGAGACUGGAAUACUUGGUGUAGCAGUGAAAUGCGUAGAUAUCAAGUGGAACACCAGUGGCGAAGGCGAGUCUCUGGACAUUUCCUGACGCUGAGGCACGAAAGCCAGGGGAGCAAACGGG
rnacentral:rRNA from 1 species